rnacentral:sRNA from 1 species
CCUGCCGAGCUGAUCGCGCCCUACACUGGCGAUAUCGCGGCGGAAGGGAUCGGUAAAGCCCUGCGCGGUGGGGCCAGAUUUCUCCGUCACGGCAUUCAACGCCAACAGCGCUAUGUCGCCGAAGCAAUCACGGAAGAGUGGCGAAUGGCGCCCGGACCCCUUGAGGUCGCCUGGUUUGCGGAAGAAACGGCAGCGGUGGAACGCGCUGUUGAUGCGCUGACGAAGCGGCUGGAAAAACUGGAGGCUAAAUGA